ACGACGUAUCGUCAGAAGGCAGUGUCCAAGAUUUCAAUAUUUAUGAAGGGAGCUGCUGACAGAGAUGUAGGAAGCGCUGAAAAGGUUAAUGCUUCUUAAUGGCCUGCUGCAUCCAGCAGAGUCGGAGUGAACCUACUGUAAGACAACAUCCCAAAGAUGCUAUUGACCACAAGACUAGUACAGGUUAUUAGAAACUGCACAGCACAGGACUUGCAGGACUUGUGAGGACUUCAGAUGAUACCAGUACUCAAAAGACCUUAGAUGAUGGCAACUAUAGAUGGACAUACAAACUACCGCCACUGCAAAAAAGAUUCUAAUUUGAAAGAAGUUUAUAAUGCAUGUUCGCUACUCCCAAUUCAGAAGACUGAAUCAGCCUGUGUAUCUGAAUGUUUCUCAUACUCACUCCUCUCUGCCGCGUCUCAC